rnacentral:rRNA from 1 species
UGGGGAAUAUUGGGCAAUGGGCGAAAGCCUGACCCAGCAACGCCGCGUGAGGGAAGAAGGUUUUCGGAUUGUAAACCUCUGUUCUUAGUGACGAAGGAAGUGACGGUAGCUAAGAAGGAAGCCCCGGCUAACUACGUGCCAGCAGCCGCGGUAAUACGUAGGGGGCGAGCGUUGUCCGGAAUUACUGGGCGUAAAGGGCGUGUAGGCGGAGAUGCAAGUUGGGAGUGAAAUCUAUGGGCUCAACCCAUAAACUGCUUCCAAAACUGUAUCCCUUGAGUAUCGGAGAGGCAAGCGGAAUUCCUAGUGUAGCGGUGAAAUGCGUAGAUAUUAGGAGGAACACCAGUGGCGAAGGCGGCUUGCUGGACGACAACUGACGCUGAGGCGCGAAAGCGUGGGGAGC